rnacentral:lncRNA from 1 species
GUUGGAUGUCUGAAGGAAAGUGUUGGAAUUCUUAAAAGUACUAGAAAUCUUGAAACCAAGUUAUGUUUUUAAAUAUGUUUUGAAUUUGAUAGCUUAUUAAAUUGUAAUUAUUUAUAGUCAUGUUUAACACUGGCAAGAGGAGCCAUCUAAAGUUUAUGAAAUAAAUCUUUUUGACAUGGAAAGAUAUGAAGUGGAAAAACUUUUUUGUAAAAAACAUAUAUAGAUACAGUACACAAAAAUAUAUCUGAAAACUGUUGCUCAAAAUAUCAAUAGAGGUUAUCUUUGAGGGUAAAGCUUGAGUAAUUUUUAGUUUCAUUUUAUAUUUCUGUUUUAUUUCAAGUUUUCACAUUGCAUGUGUUUUAGUUUAUUAAUCAGAAAAAGUAGUGAAGCUGCUGCCAUUUCAGAGGGAAUGCAUGUGUGCCAUUUUAGAGGGAACGAAUUUAUAGCAGCAGUUAAAACUGUUUCUUUAUGCUACAAAUGACAGUCAGUUUAAGAUGAAAUGCAUUUAAAUGACUCUGAUCUUAUUUCUAGGCACUAGGUGAGCUCUGUGAAACCAAGUUUGGGAAGACACACCCUGUGUGCAAUUUGGUUGCUUCUUUGCGGUUGUGGUUGCCGAAAUCCUUAAGUCCUGGCUGUGGGCGGGAGCUGCAGAGACUCUCUUACUUAGGGGCUUUCUUUAGCUUCUCAGUCUUUGCAGAAGAUGAUGUUAAAGUGGUUGAAAAAUACUUCUCAGGGCCUGCCAUUACCCUGGAAAACACUCGUGUGGUUAGCCAAUCAUUGCAGCAUUACUUAGAGCUCGGAAGGGUAAGUGUUCAGAAAACAAAUCCAGAGGAAGUAUCAAAGAUGAGCUCCAGAUACAGAGCUUUUAUUUUGUAGACUGGACUAUGCCCAGUAGACAAACGGCUAACAAAAGCCAAUUCGAUCUUACAUAAAAAAGAUAAACUAUAAGUAAGUAGCCUGUGUCUUGAAUAACAGGUUGUAACAACAGCAGUAUGCUGCCUUUGUAUGUAGCAUCACUGGGAACUGGUCCUAAGCUUAGUGGCCCGGCUCCUCCUCCAGCUGGCCCUUAGGCAUUUACACUGUGAGGGUGAGCAAGGAUUGUUAGUUUGCACACACCCUCACUGACUUGCUUAUCCCAAAUGCAGAUUAAUAUGUCUUCAAUUCUCAAACUUAAAGGCAGAGAAGGGCCGGGUGUGAUGGCUCAUGCCUGUAAUCCCAACACUUUGGGAGGCCGAGUGGGGUGGAUCACCUGAGGUCAGGAGUUUGAGAACAGCCUGGCCAACAUGACGAAACCCCGUCUCUACUAAAAAUACAAAAAUUAGCCAGGCAUGGCAGCGCGUGCCUGUAAUCCCAGCUACCUAGCUACUCGGGAGGCUGAGGCACAAGGAUCACUUGAACCCAGGAGGUGGAGGUUGCAGUGAGCCAAGAUCACGCCACUGCACAUCAGCCUGGGCGACAGAGCAAGACUCCAUCUCAAAAAAAAGAAACAGGCAAAGAAGUUACAGGCUUGGGUAACUAAGGUAAUUUUGAUCAUGGGAAAGAAGUAACAAAGCCUAUUUUAUUAAAACUGUAACUGCCGGCUGGGCGUGUUGGCUAAUGCCUGUAAUCCCAACACUUUGGGAGGCUGAGAUGGGCUGAUCACGAGGUCAGGAAGUCAUCCUGGCCAACAUGGUGAAACCUCGUCACUGCUAAAAAUACAAAAAUUGGCCAAGGCAGGUGGAUCACGAGGUCAGCAGUUUGAGACCAGCCUGACCAACAUGGUGAAAC